GCGCUCAAAUAUGUCGUCAUCAACAGUAUAAAUACCGCCUUCUUUCAUCGUCACAUCCUCUUUCCAUUGCUCUCCUCGCUUCGAGAAACUUCUCCACACGAUGAGAGCCAAGUGGAGGAAGAAGCGUAUGCGCAGGCUGAAGCGUAAAAGGAGAAAGAUGAGGCAGAGGUCAAAGUAAGCCCUCAUCCCUGUCAGCUGCGUCCUGUCAAAGCCUCUUCAGAUGACUAAAGCCUCCACCCUAAAUCAGAUGACGGAACCUCCAACAGAGAAACUGAACAGACUGAUUCGAAGUGGGCCGACACUGGACGGGUCUCUCGGCAUCAGACCUACAGCUGAUUUGUUCAUGGACCAUGAUACAUGUUUCUCAACAGCCUUCUUGUGGUGUAUUGAACAAUAAAAUGUAAACUGUUAAAAAAAGUGAA